GGACACCUGAAGGAUGAGAGACCUCUGUUCAGAAAUGGUUCUUUCGAAAUGGAUUCACACCAGGACUCUGACAGAAUUUCAGAACUAGCUUCAAACAAUUCGAACGAGUUGCCCCCACUACCAGAGGGUUCUCCACCAUUGCCUAUUGAUUCUCCUCCUCCACCCCCACCUUUGCCUCCUUCACCGCCCCCACCACCACCUCCUCCAUUAUCUCCAUCACCUCCACCGCCUCCACCUCCUUUUCCGUCACAGCUGCCCCCACUUCCUCCACCACCUGCAGGGCCACCUCCACCUACAGGCCCUCCUCCACCUGCAGGGCCUCCUCCACCUACAGUCCAUCCACCACCUAUGGGGCCUCCACCAUCUACGGGUCCUCCACCACCUAUGGGGCCUCCACCAUCUACGGGUCCUCCACCACCUAUGGGGCCUCCACCUCCAAUGGGCCCUCCACCUAGGGGUCCUCCACCGCUUAUGGGUCCUCCACCACCGACGGGGCCUCCACCACCCACAGGCCCUCCACCACCAAGGGGUCCACCACCUAUUGGGCCUCCACCACCUGCAGGGCCCCCACUACCUCCAGGCCCUCCACCCCCUCCUGGUCCCCCACCCCCUGCAAGCCAGCACCUACCUACAGGUCCUCCACCAUCACUGCUUUCUCAACCACCACUACCUCCUACACCGCAACUGCCACCUCCACCACAGUUACCACCUCCACCGCAACUACAACCUCAACCGCAACUACCACCUCAACCUCCAUUACUGCCACCUCAACCAUCACUACAGUCUUCACCCCAGUUAGCAUAUCAACCAC
rnacentral:lncRNA from 1 species